UAUCUUUAUUUUUGUNCAUUANAUUAUAAUUUUUUAUAUUUUUUUGUUUUUCUUAUUAUUAUCUUGAGAUAUAAGAAUUAAAAUUUUAAGUGAGGUUUAAUUAAAUUUUCGGUGGCACAGAAUCGGAGGCCCCGACUGUUUACUAAAAACACAACACAGUGCAAUCAUUAAUAUGGUAGUAUACUGUGUGAAAUUUGCCCAAUGCCAUUAAUAUAAGAAAAGUUAUGGUCUCAANACUGUGACUAAUCGAAAAUCUGGUUAAUAGCGGUCUUAACUAUGAGGAUCCUAAGGUANCAAAAUCAGUUGGCCAUUAAAUGUGGUCCGGUAUCAAUAAUGUAACGAUGGUCUCACUGUCUCUACAACUUGCUCAGUGAAAUUGAAUUACGCGUGCAGAUGCGCGUUGCCUCCNGGGGGACGGGAA
rnacentral:rRNA from 1 species